AUUGAACGCUGGCGGCAGGCCUAACACAUGCAAGUCGAACGAGUGGCGGACGGGUGAGUAAUGGCUGGGAAACUGCCUGAUGGAGGGGGAUAACUACUGGAAACGGUAGAUAAUACCGCAUAACAUCGGAGGUGCCCAGAUGGGCUUAGCGAGUAGGUGGGGUAACGGCUCACCUAGGCGACGAUCCCUAGCUGGUCUGAGAGGAUGACCAGCCACACUGGAACUGAGACACCGUCCAGACUCCUACGGCGUGUAGCAGUGGGGAAUAUGGCAGAAUGGGCGCAAGCCUGAUGCCGCCAUGCCGCGGGUAUGAAGAAGGCCUUCGGGUUGUAAAGUACUUUCAGCGGGGAGGCGUUACCCGCAGAAGAAGCACCGGCUAACUCCGUGCCAGCAGCCGCGGUAAUUC
rnacentral:rRNA from 1 species